CCCUUAGAUGUUCUGGGCAGCACGCGCGCUACAAUGGUCUUCGCAAACGGAUGCAUUCUCGAAGGAGAAUGCCAAUCUUGGAAUCUAUGCCUUGGUCGGGACAGUUGCUUGCAAUUUUUCGACUCGAACCAGGAAUUCCUUGUAAUUGUGAUUCAUCACAUCACGAUGAAUACGUCCCUGCCCUUUGUACACACCGCCCGUCGCUCCUACCGAUCGAAGAGUUAGGUGAAUUGUUUUGAUCGAUAAGAUUUGACUAUGGUCAACUCUCGUUGUGAAAUUCUGUGAAUCUGACUGUUUAGAGGAAGGAAAAGUCGUAACA
rnacentral:rRNA from 1 species